UUUGACAAUCAACUGGUGUUU
rnacentral:piRNA from 1 species